rnacentral:rRNA from 1 species
GACUGGCGAUGCUAUACAUGCAAGUCGAGCGAACGGACGAGAAGCUUGCUUCUCUGAUGUUAGCGGCGGACGGGUGAGUAACACGUGGAUAACCUACCUAUAAGACUGGGAUAACUUCGGGAAACCGGAGCUAAUACCGGAUAAUAUUUUGAACCGCAUGGUUCAAAAGUGAAAGACGGUCUUGCUGUCACUUAUAGAUGGAUCCGCGCUGCAUUAGCUAGUUGGUAAGGUAACGGCUUACCAAGGCAACGAUGCAUAGCCGACCUGAGAGGGUGAUCGGCCACACUGGAACUGAGACACGGUCCAGACUCCUACGGGAGGCAGCAGUAGGGAAUCUUCCGCAAUGGGCGAAAGCCUGACGGAGCAACGCCGCGUGAGUGAUGAAGGUCUUCGGAUCGUAAAACUCUGUUAUUAGGGAAGAACAUAUGUGUAAGUAACUGUGCACAUCUUGACGGUACCUAAUCAGAAAGCCACGGCUAACUACGUGCCAGCAGCCGCGGUAAUACGUAGGUGGCAAGCGUUAUCCGGAAUUAUUGGGCGUAAAGCGCGCGUAGGCGGUUUUUUAAGUCUGAUGUGAAAGCCCACGGCUCAACCGUGGAGGGUCAUUGGAAACUGGAAAACUUGAGUGCAGAAGAGGAAAGUGGAAUUCCAUGUGUAGCGGUGAAAUGCGCAGAGAUAUGGAGGAACACCAGUGGCGAAGGCGACUUUCUGGUCUGUAACUGACGCUGAUGUGCGAAAGCGUGGGGAUCAAACAGGAUUAGAUACCCUGGUAGUCCACGCCGUAAACGAUGAGUGCUAAGUGUUAGGGGGUUUCCGCCCCUUAGUGCUGCAGCUAACGCAUUAAGCACUCCGCCUGGGGAGUACGACCGCAAGGUUGAAACUCAAAGGAAUUGACGGGGACCCGCACAAGCGGUGGAGCAUGUGGUUUAAUUCGAAGCAACGCGAAGAACCUUACCAAAUCUUGACAUCCUUUGACAACUCUAGAGAUAGAGCUUUCCCCUUCGGGGGACAAAGUGACAGGUGGUGCAUGGUUGUCGUCAGCUCGUGUCGUGAGAUGUUGGGUUAAGUCCCGCAACGAGCGCAACCCUUAAGCUUAGUUGCCAUCAUUAAGUUGGGCACUCUAAGUUGACUGCCGGUGACAAACCGGAGGAAGGUGGGGAUGACGUCAAAUCAUCAUGCCCCUUAUGAUUUGGGCUACACACGUGCUACAAUGGACAAUACAAAGGGCAGCGAAACCGCGAGGUCAAGCAAAUCCCAUAAAGUUGUUCUCAGUUCGGAUUGUAGUCUGCAACUCGACUACAUGAAGCUGGAAUCGCUAGUAAUCGUAGAUCAGCAUGCUACGGUGAAUACGUUCCCGGGUCUUGUACACACCGCCCGUCACACCACGAGAGUUUGUAACACCCGAAGCCGGUGGAGUAACCUUUUAGGAGCUAGCCGUUCGAAGGAAGGAU